rnacentral:rRNA from 1 species
GACGAACCGUGCGAACGUUGUUCGGAAUCACUGGGCAUAAAGGGCGCGUAGGCGGUGCGUCAAGUCUUGGGUGAAAUCUUUCGGCUCAACCGGAAAAGUGCCUGGGAUACUGGCGCGCUAGAGGGAGAUAGGGGUCUUGGGAACUACCAGUGGAGCGGUGAAAUGCGUUGAGAUUGGUAGGAACGCCGGUGGCGAAAGCGCAAGACUGGGUCUUUUCUGACGCUGAGGCGCGAAAGCCAGGGGAGCAAACGGG